rnacentral:rRNA from 1 species
CGAAGGGCGUAGCGUUGCUCGGAAUCACUGGGCGUAAAGGGCGCGUAGGCGGACUCUUAAGUCGGGGUGGAAAGCCCAGGGCUCAACCCUGGAAUUGCCUUCGAUACUGAGAGUCUUGAGUUCGGAAGAGGUUGGUGGAACUGCGAGUGUAGAGGUGAAAUUCGUAGAUAUUCGCAAGAACACCAGUGGCGAAGGCGGCCAACUGGUCCGAUACUGACGCUGAGGCGCGAAAGCGUGGGGAGCAAACAGGAUU